rnacentral:rRNA from 1 species
AGAGUUUGAUCCUGGCUCAGGACGAACGCUGGCGGCGUGCCUAACACAUGCAAGUCGAACGGACUUAGAGGUGCUUGCACCUCGAAAGUUAGUGGCGGACGGGUGAGUAACGCGUGAGUAACCUGCCUUACAGAGGGGGAUAACAUCUGGAAACGGACGCUAAUACCGCAUAACAUAUUGAUAUGGCAUCAUGUUGAUAUCAAAGGGAAUAACCGCUGUAAGAUGGACUCGCGUCUGAUUAACUAGUUGGUAAGGUAACGGCUUACCAAGGCGACGAUCAGUAGCCGAACUGAGAGGUUGAUCGGCCACAUUGGGACUGAGACACGGCCCAGACUCCUACGGGAGGCAGCAGUGGGGGAUAUUGCACAAUGGGGGGAACCCUGAUGCAGCAACGCCGCGUGAGGGAAGAAGGUUUUCGGAUUGUAAACCUCUGUCUUUGGUGACGAUAAUGACGGUAGCCAAGGAGGAAGCUCCGGCUAACUACGUGCCAGCAGCCGCGGUAAUACGUAGGGAGCGAGCGUUGUCCGGAAUUACUGGGUGUAAAGGGUGCGUAGGCGGGAUAGCAAGUCAGGCGUGAAAUCCAUCGGCUUAACCGGUGAACUGCGCUUGAAACUGUAAUUCUUGAGUGAAGUAGAGGCAGGCGGAAUUCCGAGUGUAGCGGUGAAAUGCGUAGAUAUUCGGAGGAACACCAGUGGCGAAGGCGGCCUGCUGGGCUUUUACUGACGCUGAGGCACGAAAGCAUGGGGAGCAAACAGGAUUAGAUACCCUGGUAGUCCAUGCUGUAAACGAUGAAUGCUAGGUGUGGGGGGACUGACCCCUUCCGUGCCGGAGUAAACACAAUAAGCAUUCCACCUGGGGAGUACGACCGCAAGGUUGAAACUCAAAGGAAUUGACGGGGGCCCGCACAAGCAGUGGAGUAUGUGGUUUAAUUCGAAGCAACGCGAAGAACCUUACCAGGUCUUGACAUCCAACUAACGAAGUAGAGAUACAUUAGGUGCCCUUCGGGGAAAGUUGAGACAGGUGGUGCAUGGUUGUCGUCAGCUCGUGUCGUGAGAUGUUGGGUUAAGUCCCGCAACGAGCGCAACCCUUGCCAUUAGUUGCUACGGUAACGAGCACUCUAAUGGGACUGCCGUUGACAAAACGGAGGAAGGUGGGGACGACGUCAAAUCAUCAUGCCCCUUAUGACCUGGGCUACACACGUACUACAAUGGCCAUUAACAGAGGGAAGCGAAACCGCGAGGUAGAGCAAAACCCUAAAAAUGGUCCCAGUUCAGAUUGCAGGCUGCAACCCGCCUGCAUGAAGUCGGAAUUGCUAGUAAUCGCGGAUCAGCAUGCCGCGGUGAAUACGUUCCCGGGCCUUGUACACACCGCCCGUCACACCAUGGGAGCCGGUAAUACCCGAAGUCAGUGGUCUAACCGUAAGGAGGACGCUGCCGAAGGUAGGAUUGGCGACUGGGGUGAAGUCGUAACAAGGUAA